rnacentral:rRNA from 1 species
AUACGUAGGGGGCGAGCGUUGUCCGGAAUGAUUGGGCGUAAAGGGCGCGUAGGCGGCGCGGUAAGUCUGGAGUGAAAGUCCUGCUUUCAAGGUGGGAAUUGCUUUGGAUACUGCCGCGCUUGAGUGCAGGAGAGGUUAUCGGAAUUCCCGGUGUAGCGGUGAAAUGCGUAGAGAUCGGGAGGAACACCAGUGGCGAAGGCGGGUAACUGGACUGCAACUGACGCUGAGGCGCGAAAGUGUGGGGAGCAAACAGGAUUAGAUACCCUGGUAGUCCACACUGUAAACGAUGAAUGCUAGGUGUAAGAGGUAUCGACCCCUUUUGUGCCGGAGUCAACACGAUAAGCAUUCCGCCUGGGGAGUACGGCCGCAAGGUUGAAACUCAAAGGAAUUGACGGGG